UACGUAGGGAGCAAGCGUUGUCCGGAAUCAUUGGGCGUAAAGCGUGUGUAGGCGGAUCGUUAAGUGCCUUGUGAAAUCCCACGGCUUAACUGUGGAACGGCUGGGCAUACUGGCGGUCUUGAGCCAUCUAGGGGCGACUGGAACAAACGGUGGAGCGGUGAAAUGCGUAGAUAUCGUUUGGAACGCCAAUGGUGAAAACAGGUCGCUGGGGAUGAGCUGACGCUGAGACACGAAAGCCAGGGGAGCAAACGGG
rnacentral:rRNA from 1 species